rnacentral:rRNA from 1 species
UUGCGCAAUGGGCGCAAGCCUGAUGCAGCGACGCCGCGUGGGGGAUGACGGCCUUCGGGUUGUAAAGCUCUGUUAUAGUUGACGAAGGAAGUGACGGUAGGCUAUAAGGAAGCCCCGGCUAACUACGUGCCAGCAGCCGCGGUAAUACGUAGGGGGCGAGCGUUGUCCGGAAUGACUGGGCGUAAAGGGCGUGUAGGCGGCUGAUUAAGUCUGGAGUGAAAGUCCUGCAUUCAAUGUGGGAAUUGCUUUGGAUACUGAUCGGCUUGAGUGCGGAAGAGGUAAGUGGAAUUCCCAGUGUAGCGGUGAAAUGCGUAGAGAUUGGGAGGAACACCAGUGGCGAAGGCGACUUACUGGGCCGUAACUGACGCUGAGGCGCGAAAGCGUGGGGAGCGAACAGGAUUAGAUACCCUGGUAGUCCACGCGGUAAACGAUGAAUGCCAGGUGUUGCGGGUAUCGACCCCUGCAGUGCCGGAGUAAACACAAUAAGCAUUCCGCCUGGGGAGUACGGCCGCAAGGUUGAAACUCAAAGGAAUUGACGG